AUGUUUAUUGAUAUGUUUAUUAUUCUUUUCUCAUUGACUCAAGUAGCUGUGCUGGGACUGACAGUGGAGCAAAGUGAACUCUUCUGGACAAAGCCAGCAGGCAAAAGAGUGUUUAUCAGCUGCAAAGUGACCGAUCUGACCACUGACUACAUCCACUGGUACCAGCAGAAAGACGGUGAAGCUCUCAAAAGAAUACUCUACGUUAAGCAGGAUGGCAGUGGCCUCACAUUUGACCCCAACCAUCCACAGGCAAGAGAGUUCAGUGUGAGAGUGGACAGGAGGUCUAAUGCUUAUGAUCUGAGAGUGGACACACUGAAGAUGAGCCAUUCUGCAGUUUAUUACUGUGCCUGCUGGGAGAGAGGCAGCCACAGUGACAGUAAUUCUUCACAUCCUGUACAAAAACUCUGA